rnacentral:rRNA from 1 species
GUCCACGCAGUAAACGAUGAUUACUAGCUGUUUGCGAUAUAAUGUAAGUGGCUAAGGGAAACCGAUAAGUAAUCCACCUGGGGAGUACGUUCGCAAGAAUGAAACUCAAAGGAAUUGACGGGGGCCCGCACAAGCGGAGGAACAUGUGGUUUAAUUCGAUGAUACGCGAGGAACCUUACCCGGGCUUGAAAUGUGAGAGACUGACUUGGAAACAGGUCUUCCAGCAAUGGCUCUCAUGUAGGUGCUGCAUGGUUGUCGU